UUUUGUGUCUGCCUGCAGGGAGAAGACUGCCUAGGCAACCUGCCAAGGCCUGGAAAGGCAGGCCGUGCUGUUCCCGGACUCCUGGCCCUAUCCUGCCGGCCCAGAGAGGACGGCACGUGAAGAAAUGCAGACCUUGCAAGCUGAAGCCAAAGUCCCAGUUUUGGGUGGUGCCUGGAGCACUCCCACAGGUGUGACAGGCCCCGUGUAGCAGAGACCCCCACACCAAGUGCCUGCGACAUCCAGUAACCCCAGUUUCUCCCAGAAUAACUGUUCUCAAAGCUGAAGCCAAUACAAAGAUCCCAAGAGGGCCACCCUAUACUGCUCAUGCACCUCCUCUCUGAUAAGCCUAUGUCUUACCUACCA